rnacentral:rRNA from 1 species
UACAGAGGGUGCAAGCGUUAAUCGGAAUUACUGGGCGUAAAGUGUGCGCAGGCGGCUGAGCAAGUCGAGUGUGAAAUCCCCGGGCUUAACUUGGGAAUUGCGCUCGAAACUACUCGGCUGGAGUAUGGCAGAGGAAGGUGGAAUUCACGUGUAGCGGUGGAAAUGACGUAGAGAUGUGGAGGAACACCGAUGGCGAAGGACAGCCUUCGUGGGC